rnacentral:rRNA from 1 species
CAGAGGUCCCAAGCGUUGUUCGGAUUCACUGGGCGUAAAGGGUGCGUAGGCGGUCGGGUAAGUCUGAUGUGAAAUCUCAGAGCUCAACUCUGAAACUGCAUUGGAUACUAUUCGGCUUGAGGUCUGGAGGGGGGACUGGAAUUCUCGGUGUAGCAGUGAAAUGCGUAGAUAUCGAGAGGAACACCAGUGGCGAAGGCGAGUCCCUGGACAGAUCCUGACGCUGAGGCACGAAAGCUAGGGGAGCAAACAGGAUUAGAUACCCUGGUAGUCCUAGCCGUAAACGGUGUGUAUUUGCUGUAAAAGGAAUCGACCCCUUUUGUGGCGUAGCAAACGCGUUAAAUACACCGCCUGGGAAGUACGGUCGCAAGAUUAA